rnacentral:antisense_RNA from 1 species
CACAAUGGCGGGCCGGGUGGGGACACCUUAACGGGUGUGCCGGAGUCGUGUAGUCCGGUCGGCCAACCCUGUUCGGUCUGCCACCUCC